GAUGAACGCUGGCGGCGUGCCUAAUACAUGCAAGUCGAACGAAACUUCUUUAUCACCGAGUGCUUGCACUCACCGAUAAAGAGUUGAGUGGCGAACGGGUGAGUAACACGUGGGCAACCUGCCCAAAAGAGGGGGAUAACACUUGGAAACAGGUGCUAAUACCGCAUAACCAUAGUUACCGCAUGGUAACUAUGUAAAAGGUGGCUAUACUACCGCUUUUGGAUGGGCCCGCGGCGCAUUAGCUAGUUGGUAGGGUAAAGGCUUACCAAGGCAAUGAUGCGCAGCCGAAUUGAGAGGUUGAUCGGCAACAUUGGGACUGCGAACAGGCCCAAACUCCUACGGGAGGCAGCAGUAGGGAAUCUUCCACAAAGGGCGAAAGCCUGAUGGAGCGACGCCGCGUGGGUGAAGAAGGUCUUCGGAUCUUAAAACCCUGUUGUUAGAGAAGAAAGUGCGUGAGAGUAACUGUUCACGUUUCGACGGUAUCUAACCAGAAAGCCACUGCUAACUACGUG
rnacentral:rRNA from 1 species